UACAGAGGGUGCGAGCGUUAAUCGGAAUUACUGGGCGUAAAGGGCGCGUAGGUGGCUAUGUAAGUCGGGUGUGAAAUCCCCGGGCUCAACCUGGGAACUGCAUUCGAGACUGCAUGGCUGGAGUACGGAAGAGGAGGGCGGAAUUCCCGGUGUAGCGGUGAAAUGCGUAGAUAUCGGGAGGAACAUCAGUGGCGAAGGCGGCCCUCUGGUCCAGUACUGACACUCAAGUGCGAAAGCGUGGGGAGCAAACAGG
rnacentral:rRNA from 1 species